rnacentral:rRNA from 1 species
AGCGAACGCUGGCGGCAGGCCUAACACAUGCAAGUCGAACGAACUCUUCGGAGUUAGUGGCGGACGGGUGAGUAACACGUGGGAACGUGCCUUUAGGUUCGGAAUAACUCAGGGAAACUUGUGCUAAUACCGAAUGUGCCCUUCGGGGGAAAGAUUUAUCGCCUUUAGAGCGGCCCGCGUCUGAUUAGCUAGUUGGUGAGGUAAAGGCUCACCAAGGCGACGAUCAGUAGCUGGUCUGAGAGGAUGAUCAGCCACAUUGGGACUGAGACACGGCCCAAACUCCUACGGGAGGCAGCAGUGGGGAAUCUUGCGCAAUGGGCGAAAGCCUGACACAGCCAUGCCGCGUGAAUGAUGAAGGUCUUAGGAUUGUAAAAUUCUUUCACCGGGGACGAUAAUGACGGUACCCGGAGAAGAAGCCCCGGCUAACUUCGUG